AUUGAACGCUGGCGGCAGGCUUAACACAUGCAAGUCGAGCGGAGAUGAGGUGCUUGCACCUUAUCUUAGCGGCGGACGGGUGAGUAAUGCUUAGGAAUCUGCCUAUUAGUGGGGGACAACAUUCCGAAAGGAAUGCUAAUACCGCAUACGCCCUACGGGGGAAAGCAGGGGAUCUUCGGACCUUGCGCUAAUAGAUGAGCCUAAGUCGGAUUAGCUAGUUGGUGGGGUAAAGGCCUACCAAGGCGACGAUCUGUAGCGGGUCUGAGAGGAUGAUCCGCCACACUGGGACUGAACCGCGGCCCAGACUCCUCCGGGAGGCAGCAGUGGGGAAUAUUGGACAAUGGGCGGAAGCCUGAUCCAGCCAUGCCGCGUGUGUGAAGAAGGCCUUUUGGUUGUAAAGCACUUUAAGCGAGGAGGAGGCUACCUGGAUUAAUACUCUAGGAUAGUGGACGUUACUCGCAGAAUAAGCACCGGCUAACUCUGUGCCAGCAGCCGCCGUAACAC
rnacentral:rRNA from 1 species